CACCUACGGGGGGCAGCAGUGGGGAAUAUUGGGCAAUGGGCGCAAGCCUGACCCAGCAACGCCGCGUGAAGGAAGAAGGCCCUCGGGUUGUAAACUUCUUUUGUCAGGGACGAAGAAAGUGACGGUACCUGACGAAUAAGCCACGGCUAACUACGUGCCAGCAGCCGCGGUAAUACGUAGGUGGCAAGCGUUGUCCGGAUUUACUGGGUGUAAAGGGCGUGCAGCCGGAGAGACAAGUCAGAUGUGAAAUCCGCGGGCUCAACCCGCGAACUGCAUUUGAAACUGUUUCCCUUGAGUAUCGGAGG
rnacentral:rRNA from 1 species